rnacentral:tRNA from 1 species
CACCGGAUGGCCGAUAAAGGCCUAAGUCUUUUAAACUUAUAAUAGAAAUUUUUCUUCCAGUGA